UAAUUGAAUAGAUCACGCGAUCGGCCCCACAAAGAAGUGGCCUUGCUCAUUUUAGUUGAGAGUGCGAAACCGUUCGGACACAUCAAACUAGUGGCCAGUGAAAGCUAAGCUAGAAGCUAAUUGUAAGCCAAGUGAUUGUUAGGCAGAAGAAGAACACCGAUAAUUUCGGUGUCGGAAAUCAAAACUACCGAGAAACAGCAAUCCUCAUCAUCGAGAUCUGGGCCACAGCCGACUAAGGACGCCGUACAGCAGCUAGGUUACGGAAUUCUGUACCCCAGUGCACCUUCCCGAUAAUUAGACUCGAGCGGAUUUCGUGGUUGAGAGUAGGUCUCGAGCGUCGUCGAUACCGCUGUCAGGAAUAAAAAACCCGCGUCAACGUGGGUUUUUACUUGGAGCUCGUCAUCUGGUUAACCCUAGCUGAGUCAGGCUACGAAGAUUCUUGAGGCUAGCCUAUCCCCACGUGUGCGCCGAGACAUCCCCGCACCGGAUUGUCAUCAAACCGGGAACGCGACCAGUGACCGUAACGCCAAGUGUCACCUCGGACCCAUAGGAUAGUCCUGCACAGCUGACCAUCACAAACUUAGGUAUCGGAGACCGAAAACCACGUGUCUGCUUGAUCAGUGCAUCUUGCGUCAGAACAACAAGCGGCUCCACGUCGAGUAUCACCGGUGGACCGUUCGAGGAAAGUAGCCAUCGCCAAGAGAGGGUUUGCCCCUCAAUUCAACGAUUCGACAAUCAGUGCUGAGAGAACGCCGGAUAGCUCACCGUCAACUGUGACAGUGAC